UCCCCGAGCCCCAGCUUGCCAGGCAGGGACUCCCUGGGCGGGCGGCGGGGAAGCGCCGAGUCGGCGGCCGCCCACACCCCUCUCCACGCAGCACAAAGGACACUCGCCGGCAAACUUUCCUCGCUUCUGACCCGGGCCGAGCCGGGAACUCAGCGCCAGCUCUGUUCCUGGCGGGGCUGAGGCUUCCCUCACAUUCCAGGCCACCUGGCAAACGUCCUGAGGCUGCCACUCCUUCUGGGCUCAAGGCUCACGGGCUGAGGUCUGUCCCCGCGUGGAGCUCAAGGCUCACGGGCUGAGUCUGUCCCCGCGUGGAGCUCAAGGCUCACGGGCUGAGGUCUGUCCCCGCGUGGAGCUCAAGGCUCACGGGCUGAGGUCUGUCCCCGCGUGGACCGCCGAGAGUUCGGUAGAUCCUUCCCAAGGCUCUGACUUCAAUACUUUCAGUGCCUUGUCAAUUAUACCCCUUGCCCCUUUCUCUUACCAAGGCCACCGCCAAGACACCCUUUUUCUUUCCUCUCCCCGUCGCCCGCCACCUUCCUUGCCCUCCUCUUGGCCCUCUUUCCAGCUCCCUGGGCCCCCUUUCCGCGCUGCUCUCCAGCCCCAGCUGCCUU
rnacentral:lncRNA from 1 species